rnacentral:rRNA from 1 species
CGAAGGGUGCAAGCGUUAAUCGGAAUUACUGGGCGUAAAGCGCACGUAGGCGGACUGGAAAGUCAGAGGUGAAAUCCCAGGGCUCAACCUUGGAACUGCCUUUGAACUAUCAGUCUGGAGUUCGAGAGAGGUGAGUGGAAUUCCGAGUGUAGAGGUGAAAUUCGUAGAUAUUCGGAGGAACACCAGUGGCGAAGGCGGCUCACUGGCUCGAUACUGACGCUGAGGUGCGAAAGCGUGGGAGCAAACAGGAUU